UACGUAGGGCGCAAGCGUUGUCCGGAAUUAUUGGGCGUAAAGAGCUCGUAGGUGGUGUGUCGCGUCUGCCGUGAAAGCCCGGGGCUUAACUCCGGGUCUGCGGUGGAUACGGGCAGACUAGAGGCAGGUAGGGGGAGAACGGAAUUCCCGGUGUAGCGGUGAAAUGCGCAGAUAUCGGGAGGAACACCGGUGGCGAAGGCGGUUCUCUGGGCCUGUA
rnacentral:rRNA from 1 species